rnacentral:rRNA from 1 species
GCAUCGAUGAAGAACGCAGCGAAAUGCGAUAAGUAAUGUGAAUUGCAGAAUUCCGUGAAUCAUCGAAUCUUUGAACGCACAUUGCGCCCCCUGGUAUUCCGGGGGGCAUGCCUGUCCGAGCGUCAUUGCAACCCUCAAGCCCGGCUUGUGUGUUGGGCUCUCGUCCCCCCGUGGACGUGCCCGAAAUGCAGCGGCGGCGUCGUGUUCCGGUGCCCGAGCGUAUGGGGCUUUGUCACCCGCUCUAGAGGCCCGGCCGGCUCCGGCCCCAUCUAAACCCCCGGGGUGGAGGGUCUCCGGACCCCCCUCCCCAACCAGGUUGACCUCGGAUCAGGUAGGGAUACCCGCUGAACUUAAGCAUAUCAAUAAGCGGAGGA